GACAGAGGGGGCAAGCGUUGCUCGGAAUCUCUGGGCGUAAAGGGCGCGUAGGCGGGAUGGCAAGUCAGUCGUGAAAUCUCUCGGCUCAACCGAGAAACGUCGGCUGAUACUGCCGUUCUUGAGGGAUGCAGAGGAGACUGGAAUUCCCGGUGUAGCGGUGAAAUGUGUAGAGAUCGGGAGGAACACCGGUGGCGAAGGCGGGUCUCUGGGCAUCUCCUGACGCUGAGGCGCGAAAGCUAGGGGAGCGAACGGG
rnacentral:rRNA from 1 species